rnacentral:tRNA from 1 species
GCGCCCAUAGUUCAACGGAUAGAACAUUUGGUUGCGGUCCAAAAGGUUGGGGGUUCAAUUCCUCCUGGGCGCACCA